rnacentral:rRNA from 1 species
ACUCACCAGGUCAGGACACGGUAAGGAUUGACGGACUGAAGGCUCUUUCUCGAUUCCGUGGAAAGUGGUGCAUGGCCGUUUUGGUUGGUGGAUCGAUCCGUCUGGUUAAUUCCGUUAACGAACGAGACCUCGGCACUCCGAAUAGCGCGGCGGACGUCGCGGCCUCCGGGCCGUCUUCCGCACGAGCUUCUUAGAGGGACCGUCCCCCGCCGGGGAAGGAGGUGCGAGGCAACGACAGGUCUGUGAUGCCCUUAGAUGUUCUGGGCCGCACGCGCAUUACACUGACGCGUCCAACGGGUGACUCCCGACCCGAAGGGGCCGGGGAAUCCGCAAGGCGCGUCGUGAUGGGGAUUGAACGUUGCAAUUGUUGUUCACGAACGAGGAAUUCCUAGUAGGCGCGGGUCAUCAACCCGCGCCGAUUACGUCCCUGCCCCUUGUACAC